UUGCGAGUGGCGGCGCUUGGCUUCUGGUCUCCAAGUUCUGACACGGCAGGAGUUCAUACACGCCGAUCCUACCACCCCAGUGGCCUUUUUGGACGGAGGACGGAGACCCGUAUCUGCUAGGACGAACUCCGGAAGGUUUUUCAGUUGAAAAAAGGAAGAGAACGUAAUCUGCAGGGCUAGCCAUGGAGAGAUGACAUCAGCUUGGAGACACAACAGUAACAGGAGAGUUUGUUCCACCCACCUGGAAACCAAUGCCCAUCACUGCCAUGAAAUGAAAUUCAUCUGUGAAUGACCAGUAACAUCCUGUGUACCAAAAAUCACCACAAAAAAAUGAUUACUCAAAAUGUUUCUUGGAAAAAAGUGUUUUUGAGGUUUUUUAAAAGUUCACAACAUUAUUUCUCAAAAAUGUAUUCCAUUUAUGAGACAUUCUGGAAAAAGCAAAAGUAUAGAGACAGAAAUCAGAUCAGUGGUUGCCAGAGCCUGAAGUGGGAGGAAAGGAUAUGGGGAACUUUUGGGGGGUAAGGGAAUCAUUCUAUAUCUUGACUUGGAUGAUGGUUGCAUGAUUGUAUACAUUUGUCAAAAAUCAAAACUGCAUACCUAAGUAGGGUGAAUGGUGCCGUAUUUAAAUUAUAACUCAAUAAAUUUGACUUUACAAAUGUACGAAUUCCAACUUCUAAGUCAACCUGAAUUUCUCUUUGUAAACUUGACCUUUUUAUUAUGUACCUUCUCUCAUUUGUCAAGUUUUUCUAGUUUUCAUCUUCAAAUUGAUUUUUUAGCAGAUUUUACCUAAGUUAUGGAAAAUAAAAUGUUUUCACAUAUA